rnacentral:rRNA from 1 species
GACGAACGCUGGCGGCGUGCUUAACACAUGCAAGUCGAGCGGUAAGGCCCUUUCGGGGGUACACGAGCGGCGAACGGGUGAGUAACACGUGGGUGACCUGCCCUUAGCUCUGGGAUAAGCCUGGGGAAACUGGGUCUAAUACCGGAUAUGACUCCAUGACGCAUGUUGUGGGGUGGAAAGCCUUGUGCGGCUAGGGAUGGGCCCGCGGCCUAUCAGCUUGUUGGUGGGGUGAUGGCCUACCAAGGCGACGACGGGUAGCCGGCCUGAGAGGGCGACCGGCCACACUGGGACUGAGACACGGCCCAGACUCCUACGGGAGGCAGCAGUGGGGAAUCUUGCGCAAUGGGCGAAAGCCUGACGCAGCGACGCCGCGUGAGGGAUGACGGCCU